GCAAUGGUGUCUCUAGACACCACCACCGCUUUCAGAUUCAUGUUCU
rfam:Picea glauca, whole genome shotgun sequence.